rnacentral:rRNA from 1 species
GACGUAGGGCGCAAGCGUUGUCCGGAUUUAUUGGGCGUAAAGAGCUCGUAGGCGGCUUGUUGCGUCGUCCGUGAAAACCUGUGGCUCAACUACAGGCUUGCGGUCGAUACGGGCGGGCUGGAGUUCGGUAGGGGAGACUGGAAUUCCUGGUGUAGCGGUGAAAUGCGCAGAUAUCAGGAGGAACACCGGUGGCGAAGGCGGGUCUCUGGGCCGAUACUGACGCUGAGGAGCGAAAGCGUGGGGAGCAAACAGG